GAUGAACGCUGGCGGCGUGCCUAAUACAUGCAAGUCGAGCGAACGGACGAGAAGCUUGCUUCUCUGAUGUUAGCGGCGGACGGGUGAGUAACACGUGGAUAACCUACCUAUAAGACUGGGAUAACUUCGGGAAACCGUAGCUAAUACCGGCUAAUAUUUUGAACCGCAUGGUUCAAAAGUGAAAGACGGUCUUGCUGUCACUAAUAGAUGGAUCCGCGCUGCAUUAGCUAGUUGGUAAGGUAACGGCUUACCAAGGCAACGAUGCAUAGCCGACCUGAGAGGGUGAUCGGCCACACUGGAACUGAGACACGGUCCAGACUCCUACGGGAGGCAGCAGUAGGGAAUCUUCCGCAAUGGGCGAAAGCCUGACGGAGCAACGCCGCGUGAGUGAUGAAGGUCUUCGGAUCGUAAAACUCUGUUAUUAGGGAAGAACAGAUGUGUAAGUAACUGUGCACAUCUUGACGGUACCUAAUCAGAAAGCCCCGGCUAACUACGUG
rnacentral:rRNA from 1 species